GAUGAACGCUGGCGGCGUGCUUAACACAUGCAAGUCGAACGGGAAACCUUUUAUUGAAGCUUCGGCAGAUUUAGCUGGUUUCUAGUGGCGGACGGGUGAGUAACGCGUGGGUAACCUGCCUUAUACAGGGGGAUAACAACCAGAAAUGGUUGCUAAUACCGCAUAAGCGCACAGGACCGCAUGGUCCGGUGUGAAAAACUCCGGUGGUAUAAGAUGGACCCGCGUUGGAUUAGCUAGUUGGCAGGGUAACGGCCUACCAAGGCGACGAUCCAUAGCCGGCCUGGGAGGGGGAACGGACAAAUUGGGACUGAGACACGGCCCAGAACCCUAGGGGAGGAAGGAGGGGGGAAAAUGGAAAAAUGGGGGAAACCCGAAGGCAGCGACGCCGGGGGAAGGAAGAAGUAUAUCGGAAUGUAAACUUCUAUCAGAAGGGAAGAUAGGGACGGAACCUGACAAAGAAGCCCCGGCUAACUACGG
rnacentral:rRNA from 1 species